ACUUAAAUAAUUUAAAUAAAAUAUUGAUUUGUGGAGUCAAAAAUAUGAGUGUUCAUUUUAGGUU
rnacentral:tRNA from 1 species